CAGUUGAACAAGGAACAGGAUAGAUAAACAAACUGACAGUAAGAUUAAGAUGGCAGAGAAGGUGACAGAGAUCUAGGUACAUUAGCAGGGGGUGGGAUAAGAAGAAAGCUGCAGGGAACAGUUUGAUUUAGGGUCAUAUAGAAUCAUGGUCCAAGUGCUGGAAACAACUUGACCUAACUGACAAUCACCAUAAAUACCAAAAAAAAAAAAAAUGUCAACCCUUGGACAUGGUAACCCAAAUUAGGUAACAUUUAAUAUUAACAGAACAGAAUAGCUGAACAACUCUUACAACUAUACAGUAAAGACCUGACAUCCCAACCACUGCUCACAACUCCACAUGCUGCUGAAAAGUAAACAAAAUUUCCAUUUACCAUACUGCUGUGGCUGUUAGGAUAUCUGUGUGGUUUUUAAAUGGUAUCAAGCAGGCUUCUCCAAGUAACAAGUUAGCAAGAAUGCUCCCAGCGAAACAGGUCAGCAUACAAGACAACCAACAGCAUACAGGAUGUUUGCGCGAGAAGGUAUUGUCUGAUUCUGAAACAAGAGUUUGAGAAAACACACAUUAUACUGAGAUUGAAGAGUUGGAUGCUUUACAUAAGAGGUGGAACCAGUUUUACACUCCACUCAUUACAAUAGGCAAUAGCUAAUAAACAGUAUAUAAAUAGAGCACACACUAACAACUGUUAUUCUAUACUGAAACUUUUGAUGAACCUGAAACACCAAGGAGAUAACAACUGUGAAAAUAUUUACAAACUCCCAAAGGAAUUCUGAAAUGAAAAUGAGAAAGAUUAAAAUAUUGAAAAAUAAAAGAAAAUCUAGUUUUUAAUUAAACCCUUGGAGACUGAGACUGCUGAUGCUUCUAUAUUAAUGAUGUAUAAAAAAAAAAAAUUUUCAUGAGAUGCAAAAGGAAGAAGAGUGUUAUUAGUUAAAUAUAGAUAUUGUGAAAGAGAUAGAUCUCGUUUCUUUCUAGCUCAAAAAUGGUACACUAAUAGAUCAGCCCAGUCACCAUCUUGUUCAGAUAUAUUUAACUUAUGAUGAAAUAAAGUCAACAAGAGAGACUAUGCCAUUCAGUUGAUCUAGAAAUAGCAACAAAAUCUCCAUCAAAUCACACCCUACUAGCUUUAAAAAAAAAAAAAAAAAAAAGACACACAUUGGAUGAAAUCCUAAAUAAACUGUACCUAUAAAAAAAGAAAAAGACAAAAUGGACCUGUUUGGAACACUUUUGAUCAUAAAUCUGCCCGGUUGGGUUUUCCUUGGGUUAAACAAAAAUAAUUAUUUACUGAAUUUGCAGCAGAAUCACAUCCUAACAGUACCAUCUUUAUAUAUGAUGUCAAUAAAUCAUUCAUGUCCUUUCUUUUAUCUUUGACUUGUUUCAGUCAUUAAACUGUGACAAUGUUGGGACAUUGCCCUGGAGAAUUUUAGUUUUUUAAACCUGGCACUUUUGGUCUCUUUUCCUGAACCAUUAAGUUAUGGAGAUGUAAACACACCAUCACUGGUUGUCAAGUGGUAGUAGGAGACAAAUACACACAUUAUAAUAUAUUACAUAUAUAUAUAUAUUUAUAAAGUGAGUUUGGAGGGAUAUAUUAUCUGGGUGGAUAUUGUAUUAGCUCUUAUUUAAGUUCUAGUU